rnacentral:rRNA from 1 species
GGCUGGGGAUAACAUUUGGAAACAGAUGCUGAUACCGAAUAAAACUUAGUGUCGGCAUGACACAAAGUUAAAAGGCGCUUCGGCGUCACCUAGAGAUGGAUCCGCGGUGCACUAGUUAGUUGGUGGGGUAAAGGCCUACCAAGACAAUGAUGCAUAGCCGAGUUGAGAGACUGAUCGGCCACAUUGGGACUGAGACACGGCCCAAACUCCUACGGGAGGCUGCAGUAGGGAAUCUUCCACAAUGGGCGAAAGCCUGAUGGAGCAACGCCGCGUGUGUGAUGAAGGCUUUCGGGUCGUAAAGCACUGUUGUAUGGGAAGAACAGCUAGAAUAGGAAAUGAUUUUAGUUUGACGGUACCAUACCAGAAAGGGACGGCUAAAUACGUGCCAGCAGCCGCGGUAAUACGUAUGUCCCGAGCGUUAUCCGGAUUUAUUGGGCGUAAAGCGAGCGCAGACGGUUUAUUAAGUCUGAUGUGAAAGCCCGGAGCUCAACUCCGGAAUGGCAUUGGAAACUGGUUAACUUGAGUGCAGUAGAGGUAAGUGGAACUCCAUGUGUAGCGGUGGAAUGCGUAGAUAUAUGGAAGAACACCAGUGGCGAAGGCGGCUUACUGGACUGCAACUGACGUUGAGGCUCGAAA